AAAGCAUCGCGAAGGCCUUGGUGUUGUGACCUCAGGCCUCUCUACAGGGCCCACGUGAGGCCCUCAGCCCGGGCCAGGCCUCUCCCGGCCUCACUCAGGUUUCCAAAGCCGGAGCUUUGCAUGGCUCCGAGCUUGCAAGCAAGCGUUUCUCAAAAUGCAAAAUGCAAAAUGCAAAAAAAAAAAAAAAAAAAAAAAAAAAAAAAAAAAGAAAAAGAACUUGUUGAUGUUUAAGGUAUUUAUGAGGAAAUAUCAGUCUCAGGAAAGGAGAGGCUAGUUCCCAGGAAGGAACACGGGGUUCAGCGGGGCCUGCUUCACCUCAGCACAAAGGAGAGGAGGGGCCGCGGCUCUCCAGCAGCGCGCGGCACAAAGAGGGCUCAGAGCCGUGUUAAUGCCAGAGAAUGGUGUCCGGGGACAGCAGGCGGACAGGAACCGGCCAGGAGAGAGUGGCUUAUCGCACUUUAAUAUCAACAAUCAAGACACAAAGGACUGGAAAGGAAUUUUCCCUUACCCUCGUGAAAUCUUGGGCAGAGAAGGAAAAAAAAAAGUAGCUUGAAUGUAAGUGUGACAGAUGGCAGCAGAGGGGCAGUCUGACAAACUGGUGUCUGACAUGGAAGUGCAUGAAGCAGAAGUGUGUCACUAAACUCCUCCAUGUGGAAGAAAAAUGGCACCCACUGACACACAUCAAUGCUUGCUGAAUGUUUCUGGAGACCAAACAGAGGAUGUGAGCACAAUGAAGUGGUGGUGGGUGGUGUGUUUCAGCAGUGAUGACAGCGACGUGAAAGACAAGCCAUGUUCCAAGCAGCCAUGCACAGCUAUCACACCACAAAAUGCAGAGUGUCUUGAUCAGCUCAUCUAUUUGAAUCAGCAGAUUAUGACCAAGGAACUGUGUAUGGAGCUGAAUAUCAGCUUCAAUGUGUUGGAAAUGAUGGUGGCAGUGUUGGAAUAUUGCAAGGUUUGUGCCAAGUGAAUUCCAUGAAUGCUUACACAGGAUCUGAAAGAACAACAUAUACAAAUUUGUCAGGACCUAUUGAAGCAACCUAAAGCUGAAGGUGACGGUUUCCCAGAACACAUCAUUACCGGUGGCAAGAUGUGGUGUCACCACUACCAGCUGGAGUUCAACCAACCAUCCAUGAAGUGAUGACAUGCGGAUUCCUCAUCAAAGAAAAAGUUCAAGACACAGCCCUCAGCAGGUAAAGUGAUGUGCAUUUUUGAGAUAGGAAAAGGGUGAUCCUUCUGGAUUUCCUGGAAUCUGGACAAACCAUGAACUUUGACCGCUACAUAAUGAUGCUGACUAAGCUGAAGGUUCAAACUUCUAGAGACAGGUAGCAGUGGAGAACAUGCUACAAGUAGUCUGCUUAAGCAUGAAGAACUGAUUUGAAACAACAGCAAAAAUACUGCAAAAUCCUAUAUGAAAAAUAAAAUAAAUAUGCAAAAGUAAGAAAUACAUUACUACUAGUACUACUUGAUACUACCUAGUAGUAGUACUAGGUUAGUACUACUACAUACUACUACUUGACUGUUGGCUUUCCCCAGCUAAACAGCUUCUAUUAACCUCCCCUGCUGAUGUCUGGACACAUUUCUUAUGCAAAUGACUAAGGCAGAUCAGCACAUAUCAGUUUUGUAAUGACUUUAUCUUAACCUGUCAUAUCUUUGUGAAAUAAUGUUGGUGUCCUAGUGUCUCAGUUCCUAUAAGCCUUUGGAUGUAUUUGUCUUUGAGAGAGUGUUGAUAUAAACUAAUAUUGAAGUAUCUGUUAAACUAACAUACAUUCAUUAACAUGUAGCAUUAGAGCUGUUCUGCAAAUCUCUAAUUGCAUUACUGUUUUAUGUCCUAAGUGCUUACUCAACUAUGAAUAUAUAAACUCUAGUCUGUAAGGACUGUCAUCAAGAUGCUAUCAAAGCAAAAAAAGUAUGUGUUCCACUCAGUCCAAAGUCUGAUCUAUAUCACUGCUUUCUGAGCUAUUGAGUUCACUGUGACACUGACAGAAGGGCUGCCAUUGUGCAAGAAGGAAAGCACAUCUUUGCAUGUCUUUAAAGCCUCUGGGGCUCUUUCCCACUAUUUGCCAUACUGAGACUUUCCUAGGUUUGGGUUAGGCCUCAAGUCAGCAGAAAUGUUCUGUAGGUAAAUGGGUGUAGGCCUAGAAAGAAAAAAGCUUUUUCCUGGGCUGCACAUUCAUGGGGCAGGAGGAGUCUAUUGCUAGGUAGGGUUCUGUUCUGCUUAGCUCCACCAUAAUUUAUGUUUGCACCUGUAACACCAUGCCAGUGUCUAUGGGCCCUUUCCUAUCUGGAGUGUUUUCCUGAAGAUUGUGCUUGUGGCCUCCCCACUCAUCAGCAAGUCAAUCUAUGUUUAAAAAAUCAUCAAAAACAGUAGAUUAAAAGCAGCACCAAGUCACCCAAUGACUGCCUCUCUCAGAAAAGCUCACUACUCGUGCAGCUACCCCUAGAACAUAGCUCACUGCAGCACAUGUGGAAAUUUGCUGUUCUAGAAACUCCAGUAGAGCACCUGUUUUUCCUUUCUGUGAAAGUAUGAAGGAUCAUUUACUCUACUGCUUUCUCCUAUACAAGUGAUACGGGUUUUCUCAACAUCAUAGAAAUGACCAGAGUGUUUCCUUCUUCCCCAGUCCUGCAGCCAGGCAAACACAGACAAUACAAAUGCUAUCAUCCUGGUAUGUGUCAGCUAUUUCCAGUUCUCCAGUGCCCACUCACAAUACAAGUUCAGGGUGAUAAAGUGACUUACUUUAACGAGUAACGUGUUUUGUUCAGCAUGACUUUGCAGCAGCUCAAGAAACUACUCACAAGAUGGCUGUGUAGCAUUCUCUUCUGCAACAUGGGCUUUAGCAGCCCCACUCACUGCCUUCUGAUGGUCUCGUAAGAGAGGGGAACCCUCAAGGGAGUGAGGCAAAUCUGAGAGCAAAAGUCCCUACACGAAGGGGUGCCUCACUGUCACAAAAACCAAAAAGCACAAAGAUUUGCACUGAUUUGGGAUUUCCAUAAAAUAGAAAGAAUCCACUAUUGGACUGGUCCCAGCUAAGUCACUCUUUUGCUGUGGUCCCUUAGGCCUUUCUGCUUUUUCCCAUUCCAAACUUAGUGGAGCUAUUUUUUUAAGUAAUGAAAGUAAGGGAGAGAACCACAGUGUGCUCAAAGGAAAGGUCUGCAGCUCAGCCAUUGGGGAGUCAUGUGUAUCCUUCUUUCCACUCCAUUUUCACUUUAAGGAGCAAUUAUAUAAUAAAUUACAGUAUUAUAUUGGGAAAUAAAGAAGUAAUUCAUUCUUGCUGCUCUAUCACAACACUUGGGACAAUGAGAAGAUUUAUCUCUGUAUAAUAUCAUCAUUUGGUUGUCAUAUGCCAGCUGCAUAGCUAAGCCUUGGUAGCUUUCUAAGUACAGAGAGAGGAAAGCAGUUAUACCACCACAGUGCAUUAUUUUCUGAUGGAUAAAUCAGCAAGUCAAUACUCAAAAUAAAUUCUUUGAAGACCCAAUAGCUAACAGCACACUCUAGAGAACAAGCAGUAAAAACAGUGAAGUUGUAGGGCUGGUAAGCUGGCUGGAGGCACGUGGCUUCUUAUAAACAGGAAUCCAAAACAGCUGUUUGUAAAGCCUCUAUCACAUAGAAGAACAUCCUCCAGAAAACUGACAGCAUACAAAUCCUGAAAGUAAGCAUUUCUUUCUUGAUUACUAAAAAUUAAGAAGCUUGAACUCUUGGUUUAAAGUAUUAAAAGUAUUCAGUGAUUUCCCUUUUUUUUUUUUUUUUCAUUAUUCAGACAGUGGAAGGGUUCAUAAAGUAACUUAAUUAGACCAUAGCUCCAAUGGGAGCCCCCUUUAACAUGUCUAUAGAGGUUCUUUAAAUACUGUAAUCCACCCUGAAUAAAAGGUGAAACUAGGAAUGAUAUUUUCAAAGAAAGAACUACAAAGAGCAUUUAUCUUUCUCUUUUUAGUUUUCUGUCUUUGCGAUCUAGAUAUCAAGCUUCCAUUACAUUCUAAGGAUGACUUUUUUCUAGGUUAGCUCUCACAAGCUUUGCUUUUUAUAUACCCUAAUUUAAAACUUAUAUAAAAAAAAAAAAGUCAAAGUGAAAAAUCCAUUACUAAACCACAUUCAAACUGGUAUUCUAGUAUUACAGUAAUAAAUGGAUGCUGUUGUACAGAGUAUUCUGUUUCAGCUUUUAGCAAAUAUCUUUUAUUUUUGAAAUCCCAUUGUCAUUCGUUUCCUGCUUCAUCCAGUCCUAUAGGAGGAGACCUCACACCUACAAGCUGCUGCUGAUAAUGCCCUAGCUAGUGUGGGAAAUACUGAUGUUGAACAGAGCCUCUGUAAAUCACUUUUUGUUUUCUUCAAUGGCCUUCUCUGUGAAUUUCCACCACUCUGAGGCAAGUCCCUGGUACUCCAAAUGUUCUUGGUCUUCCGUUCUUAAGUAAAUUGAUUUGUUUCUAGAGAUUAUUGGGUGUGUGAAUAUUCUGCACUUGAAAGGUUUCCAGAAUGCUUUGUGCAGCUUUUUACUUUAAGGCUAACAAACAGUAUGAGGAAAUUAUGUUUGUCUUUAGACAUUCAAAUAUAAUCGUCUCUCUUAGACACGUAACUCCAUUAACUUCGGUGGGAUUACUUGAGUAAGCAGAAUGAGAACUCUGAGUCCGAUGUUUUUGUGUUGCAGUAACCAUUAACUGUACACUAUUGGAUGGUUAUCAAACUUUCAAAACUAGAUGGGGAACUUGGCACCAAAGCCUCCUAGAAUCUCCAGUCUGGCAGAGUGUCUAGCAUAUGCCAGUACACUGGGAGGGCUCUCUUCAUCGCCCUCCUGGAAGGGAGAUAUGUUGACCUGCAUGCGAUCAUGAAAGCAACCCCAAACCAUGAAACCUGAAAGCUCAAACAGGUAGAUGGAAAUGUUUCCUCUAAGGUCUAUUUUUAAGCUGAUGCAACUGCGCUUUGCCUUAACAUUUAGUAAAUGUACAGGGCUGUGCUCAACAAACGGCAGGCUGACAGACUUCAAGGAAUUUUAGUCUGACAAAGAAAAAUCAAGAUCAUGAUUUUAUAUUUAUAUUGCACUGGCAUUCUUUAGAAAUGUGAAAUCUCUCUGCAAUGUCUGUAAGGGGAGCAGAGUUAAUAAGCUAAAAAUGUUUUUAAUGUCUAACUGCUAUAGAUUAAUUUUCCUGGAGGUAGGAAUUAUUUAUAGACCUUCAGCACAGCUCUCCUAAAUCAGGAGAGAAGCAGAAGGUGUUUUGAGAAGGUGCAGUAUAGCAGAGUGUGAAAAAUGCACAAUGAUCGUUGUUCUUUAAGCAAUCAUCUUUCAGUACAAAUUUAUUCAAUUUUUUUUUUUAUUAUCAUGGGAAGAAAGUAAAGAAAAUAAUUAAAAUGAUCAAAGAAAAACAUGGAUGGAGUAAUCUAGAGUGAGAGCACUUCAAGUGAAGAAGCUCUUGAUACUUGACUUAACCCUUACACUUCUUUCUUGUGCCUCAUUACUUCUCAUGCCACUCGUGUUCAAUAGGUUACAACUGAACAUAUUUGUUUCUAACUGUAAUAAUGUUCUGAAGUUAUAUCUUCACUCUGCAAACUUCUGGGUGCUUUAGAAAUAUUAUCCAAAAUGUUUUUUGCUCACUUAUGCCACUGAGGCAACUACUUCAUUGCAUGCAUUUGGAUUCAAGUGCUUUAAAAAAAAAACACAAGAUGGCAGAAAGGCAUACACACUUUGAGCAGUGACUCUGUUAACUGAAAUUAUCUUAUAAAAGCAAAAUACCAGUAAUAGAUAUAUUUAUUACAAUAUGAUAUGUAGGCUUGAAAGAAAUAGAUUAAAUGAUAGUAGGGUAAUUGGUUGAUUUUUCUGAUGCAUAAAGCUUUUAUGGUAAAAAGAAAAGCAUUUUAAGACAGAUAUUAUGCUAAAAAUGUAAAAAGACGAAAGCACAGCAGCAUGCUUAUUUCAAAUCUGUUACAUAUUGUGCUCCCAUAGAGGGCAAUAUUGUAUAAAAGAUAGGUUUAAGCUACAUAUUAGAGAUCUGCCAAUUCAUCUGUGUUGAUAUACUUUAAGGAAAAUUGCUGUUACGAUAAAUUUGAUGCCGCAUUUCCCUUUAGUCAGGCUAUGACUAAUACACAUAAUAAUGCACACAAAACCACAUAACAGAACCUCGUUAAAGAUGAAGGAAAUUAAUUUUGUAGAUUACCAAAUUGUAGGUUGUAAAGUAUAAACUAUCACAUUUUGGCUCACAUUUUCUGUUCAGUAACUGAGUCACAGUAAUACUCUCUUAAAGUUGAUUGAGCAUAUCCGUAAGAAAAUGCACCUAAGUUUGUGAAGUCAGUUCUGGGUACAGCCUUUGUCUAUAGAUGUGUCUGGAAUAUUCUGAAAUCAUCCACAUUUCUGUACUGCUUCUCGUAUACUUUUUCCUGUGAAAUGCACGUGUGAAUAUACCAUCAUGUUUUAAUUUACUCUUGUACUUUUCUGCUUUUCACAUGUUGUCAACAUGGCACCCUGGACUUCAUUUCUUCUCAGGCUCUUCAACAGAUAAAGCAUAGAAAGAACUAUGCCCCUUUAAAAUAACAUCAUAUAUUUACUUUUUAUCCUAACCUUAUUUACCUGCUUCCUUAGAGCUACUGAGUUGUGUCAAUAAGUUAUUCACAGUGUCAGUUCUGGCUUUAAUUUCAUGGAUAGUGAUCAUAGAAUCACAGACUCACAGAAUCAUAGAAUGGCCUGGGUUGAAAAGGACCACAAUGAUCAUUGAGUUUCAACCCCCCUGCUGUGUGCAGGGUCACCAACC